rnacentral:rRNA from 1 species
UACGGAGGGGGGCUAGCGUUGUUCGGAAUUACUGGGCGUAAAGCGCACGUAGGCGGCUUUGUAAGUUAGAGGUGAAAGCCCGGGGCUCAACCCCGGAAUUGCCUUUAAGACUGCAUCGCUUGAACGUCGGAGAGGUGAGUGGAAUUCCGAGUGUAGAGGUGAAAUUCGUAGAUAUUCGGAAGAACACCAGUGGCGAAGGCGGCUCACUGGACGACUGUUGACGCUGAGGUGCGAAAGCGUGGGGAGCAAACAGG